UGCACCACAAGAUGGGUACAUUAGUUCCAUAUGAUGGUAAGCCUAAAUUUGCCCAGCUAUAUAUACAUGAUACUGAUCAUGAAAUUGAAAAUAGAAUAAAAGCAUUGUUCAAAGAAGAUGAUUUUGAUGGUGAAUUGGAUCGCAAUAUUGUCGCAAAAAUAAUGGAAAUGUUAAAUGAUGUGAACCCACUUGUGAAACAAUUUAGAAUUGCUGGAGAACGACUUAGCGACUGCCCUGAUGAACAUGUGGUAAUUAGGCUAUCAGCUCCUCAGCUUAACACUGAUAUCUAGUAUAAUUUACCAACAUUUGAUGACCUUGCUCUUUUUAUACGUGAUUAACAUGGCUCAUGAUACCAUAUGAUACGGGGCAAACCCGGUGUAGGCCGAUCUUUCACUAUUGGAGUGGGAUCCCUCGAAGAACACAAAGAAGACGGGGAAGAAUGGAGAGAAAUCACAAGGGGGAACACUGAAGACCAAGUCCAAUCACACAUCCAUUAGACAAUCAAACACACAAGAUCCACAAGGUACAUGAACAACAAAAGGAAAGAUACAAGGUAAAGUUCAUCUCCAAGAGGAGGUCUUGAUGAGGGGUCCUCCCAUGAGGGGAUCUUGAUGAUAUCCCGCAGGAUCUUCUCCUAGAUGGAGGUCUUGGGCUCCAAUGGAGUGGUAUUCUCUCUCUCUCUCUCUCAACAGUAGAGAUAGGUAGGAGCAAAGCUCACAUACAAAUGAG
rnacentral:lncRNA from 1 species